CGCACAUUGCGCCCUCUGGUAUUCCGGGGGGCAUGCCUGUUCGAGCGUCAUUAUCACCCUCAAGCUUUGCUUGGUAUUGGGAGCGCCCCCGCGAGGAGGCCUCCCGAAAGGCAGCGGCGAUGCGGCCGGGCUCUCUAGCGCAAUGACUUUAUUUCGCUAAUUGGGACCCGGGCGUUUUGGCCGGACAACACCAAAUCUUUCUAAGAUUGACCUCGGAUCAGGUAGGGAUACCCGCUGAACUUAA
rnacentral:misc_RNA from 1 species